rnacentral:rRNA from 1 species
UCCCUAUGGGGUGCAGCAGGCGCGAAACCUCCACAAUGCGCGAAAGCGUGAUGGGGUUAGCCCGAGUGCUAUCCGAAAAGGAUGGCUUUUCCUUGGCGUAAAAACCCAUGGGAAUAAAGGGGGGGCAAGACUGGUGUCAGCCGCCGCGGUAAUACCAGCUCCCUGAGUGGUAAGGACGAUUAUUUGGCUUAAAGCGUCCGUGGCCGGCUUAGUGAGUCUUUUGUUAAAUCCAAUGAUUUAAUCAUUGAACUGCAAGAGAUACUGCUAUGCUAGAGGACGGGAGAGGUCGACGGUAGUCCAGGGGUAGGGGUGAAAUCCUAUAAUCCUUGGAGGACCACCAGUGGCGAAGGCGGUCGACUAGAACGUGCCUGACGGUGAGGGACGAAAGCUGGGGGAGCGAACCGGAUUAGAUACCCGGGUAGUCCCAGCUGUAAACGAUGCGGGCUAGGUGUAGGGGCAGCUACGAGCUGCUCCUGUGCCGCAGAGAAAUUGUUAAGCCCGCCGCCUGGGGAGUACGAUCGCAAGAUUGAAACUUAAAGGAAUUGGCGGGGGAGCACCACAAGGGGUGAAGGCUGCGGUUUAAUUGGAUUCAACGCCGGAA